rnacentral:tRNA from 1 species
ACCUGGAUGGCUCAGCGGUUGAGCAUCUGCCUUUGACUCAGGUCGUGAUCCUAGGGUCCUGGGAUCAAGUCCCACUUCGGGGU